GAUGAACGCUGGCGGCGUGCCUAACACAUGCAAGUCGAGCGAUCUCUUCGGAGAGAGCGGCGGACGGGUGAGUAACGCGUGGGUAACCUGCCCUGUACACACGGAUAACAUACCGAAAGGUAUACUAAUACGGGAUAACAUACGAAAGUCGCAUGGCUUUUGUAUCAAAGCUCCGGCGGUACAGGAUGGACCCGCGUCUGAUUAGCUAGUUGGUAAGGUAAUGGCUUACCAAGGCAACGAUCAGUAGCCGACCUGAGAGGGUGAUCGGCCACACUGGAACUGAGACACGGUCCAG
rnacentral:rRNA from 1 species